AAAGUUAAAGUUACUCAAAUUUUGAUAAAAAGUGAUGGAAAUUACUGGUUGAAAAAAAAAGAUUAAUAAAUGGAAUUGUUUUGACUGUGCUGAAUGUUUGGUUCUAAACUAAAGGUCAAACAUGGUCAGCAUCCAUAGGAUUCUAUGACAUGUGACCCUGUGACAUGAUAACUGAGCAUGACAGAUGGUGCAAAAUAUUCAUUUGUAAAACUGUUAAAUAAACAAAUAAUAUGCAUCACCUUUUUACCAAAAUUGGAGCAACUUUAACUUUAGACCCCUGUACAAACUGAAAUUGACCUUUGUCACUAUUUUUGCAGUUUUUACACCAUAAUCUUCAGUCACAGAUCAUCCAAACUACCUUUUUGGAAUAUUUAUUAUCAAACAAAUAUUGCCCCAACAUGGCAAGUUAGAUUUUAACAUGUUUGGGA